UCAUGUCGUUAAAUAGGUUCACA
rnacentral:siRNA from 1 species